rnacentral:rRNA from 1 species
GAUGAACGCUGGCGGCGUGCCUAAUACAUGCAAGUCGAGCGAACAGAUGAUGAGCUUGCUCCUCUGCCGUUAGCGGCGGACGGGUGAGUAACACGUGGAUAACCUACCAAUAUUACUUGGAUAACUUCGGGAAACCGGAGCUGCUACCGGCUAAUAUAUUGAACCGCAUGGUUCAAUAGUGAAUGACGGUUUUGCUGUCACUUAUAGAUGGAUCCGCGCCGCAUUAGCUAGUUGGUAAGGUAACGGCUUACCAAGGCAACGAUGCGUAGCCGACCUGAGAGGGUGAUCGGCCACACUGGAACUGAGACACGGUCCAGACUCCUACGGGAGGCAGCAGUAGGGAAUCUUCCGCAAUGGGCGAAAGCCUGACGGAGCAACGCCGCGUGAGUGAUGAAGGUCUUCGGAUCGUAAAACUCUGUUAUUAGGGAAGAACAAAUGUGUAAGUAACUAUGCACGUCUUGACGGUACCUAAUCAGAAAGCCACGGCUAACUACGUG